rnacentral:rRNA from 1 species
AUUAGCUUGUUGGUGGGGUAACGGCUCACCAAGGCCACGAUGUCUAGGGGUUCUGAGAGGAAGGUCCCCCACACUGGAACUGAGACACGGUCCAGACUCCUACGGGAGGCAGCAGUGAGGAAUAUUGGACAAUGGUCGGAAGACUGAUCCAGCCAUGCCGCGUGAAGGUUACGGUCCUAUGGAUUUUAAACUUCUUUUGUAUGGAAGCAAUAAGGUGCACGUGUGCAUCGAUGAGAGUACCAUACGAAUAAGCAUCGGCUAACUCCGUGCCAGCAGCCGCGGUAAUACGGAGGAUGCAAGCGUUAUCCGGAUUUAUUGGGUUUAAAGGGUGCGUAGGCGGAUUAAUAAGUCAGCGGUGAAACUCACAGGCUCAACCUGUGCCGUGCCGUUGAAACUGUUUAUCUUGAAUGCGGAUGCUGUGGGAGGAAUGUGUAGUGUAGCGGUGAAAUGCAUAGAUAUUACACAGAACACCGAUUGCGAAGGCAUCUCACAAAGCCGUGAUUGACGCUGAGGCACGAAAGUGUGGGGAUCAAACAGGAUUAGAUACCCUGGUAGUCCACUACUGUAAACGAUGAUAACUCGCUGCCGGCGAUAUAUAGUCGGUGGCCCAGCGAAAGCGAUAA